GGACUACCAGGGUUUCUAAUCCUGUUUGCUCCCCACGCUUUCGCACCUCAGCGUCAGUAAUGGACCAGUGAGCCGCCUUCGCCACUGGUGUUCCUCCGAAUAUCUACGAAUUUCACCUCUACACUCGGAAUUCCACUCACCUCUUCCAUACUCAAGAUACCCAGUAUCAAAGGCAGUUCCAGAGUUGAGCUCUGGGAUUUCACCCCUGACUUAAAUAUCCGCCUACGUGCGCUUUACGCCCAGUAAUUCCGAACAACGCUAGCCCCCUUCGUAUUACCGCGGCGGCUGGCAC
rnacentral:rRNA from 1 species